AUACUGCGCGCUCAUCCGUAUGUUGAUGAACAAAUAAUCUUUGUUCAUCCAACUAUUGAACAAAGUCAAACCGAGUGAGCGUGCCGUUCACAGACACCAGAAUGAACGAGUUAACAGUAACGUUCAUCAGGCAGUAAUACAAUUUCUGUGCAGCGGAAGCGCAUGGCUGUGCAUGCUGACAAGGCCAGUGGGCAGAAAUGUAUCACCCGAUACCCCAGGAACAGUUUAGGACUGCGUGGAACUAGUUGUGAUUGCAGUGAAAUGCAAACCAACGCAAUUCCCAUUAUCGUCCAUCAAGCCAAGCUGCUAAUGCUGGACAAGCUGUGCUCCUCUGCUCCUCCAUCUACUCAUGUCACCUGACGGGACUUAUGUUUGGAAGAGAAAUAAAUAAAUU
ensembl:lncRNA